AUAUAUAUAUAUAUGUGUGUGUGUGUGUGUGUGUGUGUGUGUAUACAUAUACACAUACAUACAUACAUACAUACAUACAUACAUA
rnacentral:miRNA from 1 species